GGGCCCGCACAAGCAGCGGAGCGUGUGGUUUAAUUCGAGGCUACACGAAGAACCUUACCUGGGUUUGACAUGCAAGUGGUAGUGAACUGAAAAGGGAACGACCUUCGGGAGCUUGCACAGGUGCUGCAUGGCUGUCGUCAGCUCGUGCCGUGAGGUGUUCGGUUAAGUCCGCAAACGAGCGCAACCCUCGGUGUUAGUUACAAGUGUCUAACACGACUGCCCGUGAGAAACGGGAGGAAGGUGGGGAUGACGUCAAGUCAGCAUGGCCUUUAUAUCCAGGGCUACACACACGCUACAAUGGUUGGUACAGUAGGUUGCGAAGUUGCGAAACGGAGCCAAUCCUGAAAGCCAAUCGUAGUUCGGAUUGCAGGCUGCAACUCGCCUGCAUGAAGUCGGAGUUGCUAGUAACCGCAGGUCAGCUAUACUGCGGUGAAUACGUUCCCGGGCCUU
rnacentral:rRNA from 1 species